rnacentral:rRNA from 1 species
GUGAAAUUGUUGAAAGGGAAACGAUUGAAGCCAGUCAUGCCGGUGGGAAUUCAGCUCUCGGAUUUCUGGGAGUGUACUUUCUCGCAAGGCAGGUUAGCAUCAGUUUUGCUUUUCGUAAAAAGUCCGUCGGAAUGUGGCUCCUUUCGGGGGAGUGUUAUAACCAGCGGUUAAUGCGGAGAGUGAGACUGAGGAUUGCAGCGGGUGCCUUUAUGGCUAAGUGCCUAGCUCUUGCUUAUGAUCAUCUUGAUAACAGCAUGCUGGUAUUAAGUUUGAUUCGUGAACAUGGGGUUAGCGUCACGGUAAACUCGUUAAGGAUGCUGACGUAAUGGCUUUAAACGAC